rnacentral:rRNA from 1 species
CGCCUCUUGCCAACUCUAUUGUAUAAGAGGUCCCACCUGCCCUGUGACCAAAAGUUUAACGGCCGCGGUAUCCUAACCGUGCGAAGGUAGCGCAAUCAAUUGCCUUUUAAAUGAAGGCCUGUAUGAAUGGUAUAACGAGGGUUUAACUGUCUCUUUUUUCCAGUCAGUUAAAUUGAUCUGUCCGUGCAGAAGCGGACAUAAUAAUACAAGACGAGAAGACCCUAUGGAGCUUUAGACACUAACCAACCAUGAAAAGCAAUAAAUUAUUUAUAUUCCAAACACCCAUGGACCUGGCAUAAUAGUCUUAGGUUGGGGCGACCACGGGAGAUAGCAAAGCUCCCGAGCAGACAGGGAAAUCCUGAAACCAAGAGUUACAACUCUAAGUCACAAAAAUUUUGACUGAAAUGAUCCGGCCAAAGCCGAUUAACGAACCAAGUUACCCUAGGGAUAACAGCGCAAUCCCCUUUCAGAGUCCAUAUCGACAAGGGGGUUUACGACCUCGAUGUUGGAUCAGGACAUCCUAAUGGUGCAGCCGCUAUUAAGGGUUCGUUUGUUCAACGAUUAAAGUC